rnacentral:rRNA from 1 species
CGGACCCCACUGCUAUCGGGAUAGGACUAAGACAUGCUAGUCGAGCGCCUCCCAGCCACGACGGAGGCGCGGCGUACAGCUCAGUAACACGUGGCUAACCUGCCCUCGGGACGGGAAUACCCCCGGGAAACUGGGGCUAAUCCUCGAUAGGUGAAGAACUCUGGAAUGAGUCUCCGCCCAAAAGACGCUUAAAUCAUGCUUUUAGGCGCCGCCCAAGGAUGGGGCCGCGACCGAUCAGGUUGUUGGUGAGGCAACGGCUCACCAAGCCUUUAACCGGUGCGGGCCGUGAGAGCGGGAGCCCGGAGAUGGGCACUGAGACAAGGGCCCAGGCCCUACGGGGCGCAGCAGUCGCGAAAACUUUGCAAUACACGAAAGUGUGACAGGGCUAUCCCGAGUGCCAUCCGCUGAGGAAGGCUUUUACCCAGUAUAGAAAGCUGGGAGAAUAAGGAGAGGGCAAGACUGGUGUCAGCCGCCGCGGUAAUACCAGCUCUCCGAGUGGUGUGGAUGUUUAUUGGGCCUAAAGCAUCCGUAGCUGGCCAAGUUAGUCCCCUGUUAAAUCCACCGAAUUAAUCGUUGGAGUGCGGGGGAUACUGCUCGGCUAGGGGACGAGAGAGGCCGACGGUAUUUUCGGGGUAGGGGUGAAAUCCUAUAAUCCCGGGAGGACCACCAGUGGCGAAGGCUGUCGGCUAGAACGCGCCCGACGGUGAGGGAUGAAAGCUGGGGGAGCGAACCGGAUUAGAUACCCGGGUAGUCCCAGCUGUAAACGAUGCAGGCUAGGUGUUUGGGCGGCCACGGGCCGCUCUAGUGCCGCAGGGAAGCCGUUAAGCCUGCCGCCUGGGGAGUACGGUCGCAAGGCUGAAACUUAAAGGAAUUGGCGGGGGAGCACCACAAGGGGUGAAGCUUGCGGUUUAAUUGGAGUCAACGCCGGG